rnacentral:rRNA from 2 species
AGCGUGGCGGCGUGCCUAAUACAUGCAAGUCGAACGAAACUUUCUUACACCGAAUGCUUGCAUUCACCGUAAGAAGUUGAGUGGCGGACGGGUGAGUAACACGUGGGUAACCUGCCUAAAAGAAGGGGAUAACACUUGGAAACAGGUGCUAAUACCGUAUAUCUCUAAGGAUCGCAUGAUCCUUAGAUGAAAGAUGGUUCUGCUAUCGCUUUUAGAUGGACCCGCGGCGUAUUAACUAGUUGGUGGGGUAACGGCCUACCAAGGUGAUGAUACGUAGCCGAACUGAGAGGUUGAUCGGCCACAUUGGGACUGAGACACGGCCCAAACUCCUACGGGAGGCAGCAGUAGGGAAUCUUCCACAAUGGACGCAAGUCUGAUGGAGCAACGCCGCGUGAGUGAAGAAGGUCUUCGGAUCGUAAAACUCUGUUGUUAGAGAAGAACACGAGUGAGAGUAACUGUUCAUUCGAUGACGGUAUCUAACCAGCAAGUCACGGCUAACUACGUGCCAGCAGCCGCGGUAAUACGUAGGUGGCAAGCGUUGUCCGGAUUUAUUGGGCGUAAAGGGAACGCAGGCGGUCUUUUAAGUCUGAUGUGAAAGCCUUCGGCUUAACCGGAGUAGUGCAUUGGAAACUGGAAGACUUGAGUGCAGAAGAGGAGAGUGGAACUCCAUGUGUAGCGGUGAAAUGCGUAGAUAUAUGGAAGAACACCAGUGGCGAAAGCGGCUCUCUGGUCUGUAACUGACGCUGAGGUUCGAAAGCGUGGGUAGCAACAGGAUAGA